rnacentral:antisense_RNA from 1 species
GGGAGGACAGUCUACAAGGACCUCUCCCUCCUCUGCACUCAUGCCUGGCUGCUCCCUGUGAGGAUUCGUUGGAACAAAAUGCAUCGCCAGCUUCCACCUGGAGCACUGUGCUGCUAGGCUCACAUCCCAGGGGGCUUCUGAUAUGCUACAGACGGGGAUGCUUCAGCAUCCUUUAACCUGGGAUGCUGCCUGUUAGGAGAGGAGCAGCUUCAGCCCUUUCGAAAAGUCUUCCUUCUCCUCCUCUUCUUCCUCCACUUUUUCCUCUUCCUCCUCCUCCUCCUCUUUCUUCUCUACUUUUUCCUCUUCCUCCCUCUCCUCCUCUCCUCUUCCAUCUUUUUAAAAUCUCAGUAAAUGUUUCAUUAGG